GGGCCAGACUCCUACGGGAGGCAGCAGUGGGGAAUAUUGCACAAUGGGCGCAAGCCUGAUGCAGCCAUGCCGCGUGUAUGAAGAAGGCCUUCGGGUUGUAAGGUACUUUCAGCGGGGAGGAAGGGGUUAAGGUUAAUAACCUUAGCCAUUGACGUUACCCGCAGAAGAAGCACCGGCUAACUCCGUGCCAGCAGCCGCGGUAAUACGGAGGGUGCAAGCGUUAAUCGGAAUUACUGGGCGUAAAGCGCACGCAGGCGGUCUGUCAAGUCGGAUGUGAAAUCCCCGGGCUCAACCUGGGAACUGCAUUCGAAACUGGCAGGCUGGAGUCUUGUAGAGGGGGGUAGAAUUCCAGGUGUAGCGGUGAAAUGCGUAGAGAUCUGGAGGAAUACCGGUGGCGGAGGCGGCCCCCUGGACAAAGACUGACGCUCAGGUGCGAAAGCGUGGGGAGCAAACAGGAUUAGAUACCCCCGUAUAC
rnacentral:rRNA from 1 species